rnacentral:lncRNA from 1 species
CAGUAAAGCUGAUGUUAAGACCGAAAUUUUAUUUUUCAUGCAGAGUUCACUCUUGGAGAGUUGCAGUAAAGGCAGUCACACUUGGAGUACCUCAGUGACGGCAGAAAGGUUUAUGUUUUCCUCUUGGUGACAACAUAAAUCUCUGUGAGAUUGCUGUAAAGGGCUUGCACUGGGGUGAACUGCUCCCACUGUCCUGCCAUUGGUACACCACUGGAAACAUCACUGAAGAAGCACUGUGGUGGAGGUGGAGGAUGACACGAAGGCAGUGAGACAGAAGCCAGGAUUACACUUAUUUCCUGCAUAUAAACCCCCAAUUAUAGUCAGUCAUGGAGAAGGAUUUGAGACUGAUCUCCCAUCUCUUCAGCUGCAGCACCUGAUUAAAGCCUUCUUCCCUAAAAAUACUUGUUGGCUCAGUGAUUGGCUUUCUGUGUGAUGAACAGCAGGACCUAGACAGGACCCUUCGUGUUUUGAUCUCAGCACCCGUAUAUAAGAACAGCGUCAAUUUUGCUUGGCUUUGGAGGAGAAUUUGGAUGAAAAUGCAGAAGGACAUGUCUCUUCCCAAUUAUAAGAUAGCAAAGCCUUCAUACUCACUUGACUCUGGGAAGGAUUGUGUCACAGAGUAAAAGAAGAAAUUGCUUAUAGACUACAAAGGCUAACAUGGAGAUAGAAGAACCACAUGGAGCUUGGAAAAUGGGAAUCUCAGUAAUAACAUAAUGGCUGUGAGUCUGCAGGGGUGUCCUCCAGUGCUUUUGUUCUUGUUAAAUCCCCAAGGACCUUUGAAGGAUAGUGGGGAGGGGAAUCCUCCAAAUACCUAAGAUUAAAUUUCCUACUGGCUUGGUAGGAUGGAACUUGUAAAUGAAAUUAAAUUUAUUUAUAUUAUUAUUGUUGUUAUAAUUAUUAUUAUAAUUUAUUUUUGACAUUAGGCACCAAACAAGACCAAUCAUAAUUUUUGGCUCAUAACAUACUUGCCAUCAUUGCUUACUCCUGGCCUUCAUUUAUUUUAUUUCUUUAAUUUUAUAUAUUCAUUGACAAUAUGAUGAAGUUAUAUGAAUUCACUGCCUGAAUCAAGAACUAGAAAG